rnacentral:rRNA from 1 species
AACCAGGAGGUUGGCUUAGAAGCAGCCAUCCUUUAAAGAAAGCGUAAUAGCUCACUGGUCUAGUCAAGCCAGCCUGCGCCGAAAAUGUAUCGGGGCUCAAGCCACGUGCCGAAGCUGCGGGUGUAUCCAGGGUAGCAUCCCUGGGUAUGCGGUAGCGGAGCGUUCCGUAAGCCCGUGAAGGGAAUGGGUGACCAUUCCUGGAGGUAUCGGAAGUGCGAAUGCUGACACGAGUAGCGAAAAGGAGUGUGAGAAACACUCCCGCCGUAAGUCCAAGGGUUCCUCGGCAAGGCUAAUCCGCCGAGGGUGAGCCGGCCCCUAAGGUGAGGGCGAAAGCCGUAGCCGAUGGGAACGGGGUUAAUAUUCCCCGGCCUGCCAGUGGUGACGAAUGGUGUAUGUCGUUGGGGCUUAUCGGAUUGCCCCGGCGGCGAAGCCGUUCCAGGAAAUAACCCUGGCGUAUAGACCGUACCCCAAACCGACACAGGUGGACUGGUAGAGUAUACCAAGGCGUUUGAGAGAACGGUGUUGAAGGAACUCGGCAAAUUGCUCGCGUAACUUCGGGAUAAGCGAGGCCUGCCCGCGCGCAAGCGCGGACGGGUGGCACAGAGCAGGGGGUAGCGACUGUUUACUAAAAACACAGGGCUCUGCGAACGCGUCUAGCGGACGUAUAGGGUCUGACGCCUGCCCGGUGCCGGAAGGUUAAGAGGAGAGGUGCAAGCCUUGAANNUUCCUUGUCGGGUAAGUUCCGACCUGCACGAAUGGCGUAACGACUUCCCCACUGUCUCCAACACCGGCUCAGCGAAACUGAAUUCUCCGUGAAGAUGCGGAGUACCCGCGGUUAGACGGAAAGACCCCGUGCACCUUUACUAUAGCUUUGCAGUGGCAUUAGGGAGCGGAUGUGUAGGAUAGGCGGGAGCCUAGGAAGCAUUGGCGCUAGCCAGUGUGGAGGCAACCUUGAAAUACCGCCCUUUUGCUCUCUGAUCUCUAACUGUGAUCCGUGAUCCGGAUCCGGGACCCUGCAUGGUGGGUAGUUUGACUGGGGCGGUCGCCUCCCAAAGAGUAACGGAGNNNNNNNNNNNNGCCUGACUGCGAGACUGACAAGUCGAGCAGAGACGAAAGUCGGUCAUAGUGAUCCGGUGGUUCCACGUGGAAGGGCCAUCGCUCAACGAAUAAAAGGUACGCCGGGGAUAACAGGCUGAUGACGCCCAAGAGUCCAUAUCGACGGCGUCGUU